rfam:Triticum aestivum genome assembly, contig: Triticum_aestivum_CS42_TGACv1_scaffold_423659_5BS
UGCAUACUCCCUCCGUCCGGAAAUACUUGUUAUCAAAAUGGAUAAAAAGGGAUGUAUUAACUAAAAUAUGUCUAGAUACAUCCACUUCUAUUCAUUUUGAUGAUAAGUAUUUCUGGACGGAGGGAGUACCUC